UACACACACACACACACACACAGAAGGCGCCAUCACCAUAACAGAAUCUCGCAGACCUCCACAGUGGCAACACCGCCCGCGCUGCGCACAUUCCCUCCUCUUACAAGACAAAAAAAACUCUCGAACCAAUUUACUCUUGUGUAGAUCUUUAAGUAGAAAGUUGAACCAAGACACUGACACACUACCAAGGAGAUUAUAAAGAGGAGAUAAAGCUAGAAAGGAAGAGGAGAAAGACACCAUGUUAAAAAGAGGAGUGCAACUAGUGUUCAACAUCCACUAAGGUCACCAUGGAGGAAGCUACUACCACCUGCUGCUGAACCAAAACAAAGAGAUGGAGGCGGAGCUGGUGGAGCUGAAGACGACGCCGAGGAUGGGGAGGGACGAUGAUCUGGUGGACGUAGAAGCCGGCCAGUCCUCCACCGGCGACGACGCUGAAGACCGGAGGCAGAGUGGAGGAAGCGGGGAGGAAGGAACGGAGGGGGAGGGGGGUGAGGAGGUGGUGAAGAAGGAGACGGUGGUGUUGAGACUCGGGGAAGGAAAGAUUGAGGGACCUAUGAGGUUCAUCACCUGCUAUGCCUCCGUCUUCACCUUCACGGUCAUGAUCGGCAUCAUCAUGUGGCUCCUCAUAAUCUCCCCGCCCUUCACCGUCAAGCCGGAGAUCCUGCCGGGGAGGUCCAACUCCAGCUCCAGCUCCUCGUCGACCGUCACCCGCACCACGGUCUUGCCGCUCAACACAGAGACCCCAGAGUUUAGUUCGGAUUUUAAUCAAGCCUGAAGCUCUUCUGGUUAGAUUUACACCUCUCAUCAAUCCUGUUAUAUUGAUGAAUAAAUCUACACAUCUGAUUACGUUUGGAUCACUUUCGAUGAUCAAGCCUUGAAACUAAGUGUAGAAUGGCAGGUCAAACAUAGAAAUUUGAGAUGUCUGAAUCCAUUUUGAUGGAAUCUUUAAAUCGAUGCUAUGCAUCUGAUCAAACCUGAAUGGAUCUAGAUGGAUCCUAUACAUUUGACGAUGACUGAAACUCGUUUUGUCCGAGGCGUCACACAUGACCUCGUGUGAACAUAAUAUUUACACGGGCCUUAAGUGUUCCACCAAGCCUGAAAACGUGUGAUAAACUGACGCCAGACAGAUGAAGCAAAUAACUGAAGAGCAAAUUCGGAUACUGUGUAAUAACUCCGACUAUUCUGAAAUCCUGAAAUAUCCUGAGAAUAUAAUUCGCUCAGCCUCAGGACUUCAUCAGUUAUGUUUUGCUCUGAACACUGAAGCAGUGAUGCAAACCCUUCAGAUGUAAAGAAGCUUACCCACCAGAGUGAUGUCCCUUACCUGGCGCGUCUUAUAUCUUUGUGAGAGGUUGUCAGUAGUGCCAGAGGUCUGUAGUGUGUUAUGUGAAGGUGCCAUACACCUGCAUACACCUGACCACACCGGUAGUUAUAGUGCCAAAAAAGGUGUUCAUCCACUCUCUUGACCAAUAUUUACAGUUGCUUAAGUGUCUUACCCUCAAACACCUGAACACACCUGUACGUAUAAAGCCAGGAGUGCCACUAAUACACACCUGUAAGAGUAGAGCCAGGAGUGCCACAUAUAAAAGACACCCGACCAGGUAAUUAUCCCACUUCAUGAUAGAUUUUAGCAACAGGUGUGUCGUGACCAACUACCAUGUGAUGACGUGGUGUAGCAUAGGUACACACACACACACACACACACACACACACACACACACACACACACACACCAUAGUUGUACUACAAAUGGCUAAUAAUGGUCUUUUAUUCCUAAUCUGAAUAUUAUAAUUGGGUGAUAAGUGACUAUACUAUGAUCUUAUUAAUUUUAUCUGAGCAUUAACUGGGGGUAAAUAAUUUCCAAAGCCUUUUCAAUGUGUCUGAAGGUGAGGUAAGGCUAUAAUUAGCCUUUGUUGCUGUUAAAAUUUUAGUUGGUAGUAAAUGGCCAAUAUCAGCUAUUUUCUCUUAAGUGUAAACCUACGAGGCAUGAGAAUGAUCCUACUCUUUGUGUAUCUUUGUUGAUACUUCUCAGCUGUUUUAUGAUGUCACAGAUGGACAAUCACUCUGUAAACACCUGAUGCACUGGAGUAUAACAUUGUCAAGCCUGGUCCAUAUACCUGUACCGUAAUCACUGUGACGAAACGUUUUAUAUGAAUGUAGACCUCGACCCAGGGAAUGGAAGUGACAGUAUUGUAAUCACUUUGUUUGUGUGUGAUAAUGAAGAGUUACUAGCGGGUGAGGUGAAAUCUCCUAUGUUCUUUCCAAAGGUGAACAUAAGAAUUGUACCAAUGUUAGUUUUCGUUGUCUAGUAAUCACAUACAUUAAUGUUGUUAUCACAGAACUCUGGUUGUUAAGAAAAGAUAGACAGGUCAUGUUAGGUCAAGAUAUCUGGUAGGAAUAAACAGGGUGAUAUUUUGGGGGCGAGAAGUGAGGCUUGUGGCCUUGUUACUUAAUGAAGAGCUGGCACACAGUCGCGGGGAUCUGAAUGUUUUUGUAGAGUUGAGGUUUAUGACCUGACUGUGUUGUGCAGAUUAAUGUUUACGGUUUUAUAGUGAAUUUGUAAUGUCUGGUGGACUGACUUCUGUACCUAGAAGGUUUUUGUACGUACAGUCACUGGAUUUAGAUGGCAAUAACACGUUUCGACAUCAGAUAUUCUAGCCUUAUGAAGUGUGCUCAUCCGAUCUAAAUUAAUUAACUUUAUCUAACUGAACCCAACCAGGCUUCAAUGUCCACAGCAGAAACUUGUUGUCACCGUCUGAGACACAUACUUACCUCUCUUAGUUACUGUGAGACGUCGGAGAAGGAAGAUAAUGGCCUCUUGAUAUUACGGUUCCCUCAGUCGGGAAUCUCUUCCUUUUGACGCGUCACUGUGGUGAUCCUCCUCAUGAUUCACACCAUCAAAUAUCUUGCUUUUGUUGGUGAACGACUCUGGCUCGUCUCUCUCUCAUAUCUGAAACAUAGAGUGUAAUGGAGAUUUAGAAACUAAUUUAUAGAUUGCAUGAAGAUUAAUUUAUAAAUGUAUUUCCCUACGAUGUCUGAAAAGCACUGUAAGAUAGUCCCAGAAAUCCUAACCUAAUCUAACCUACCCUAAGCCAACCUAACCUAACCUAACCUCCUUAACCUCACCCAUCCCCCCACAGGUAGCGUUAGGCUGGUUGUUCGAUUCUUCAACCACCAAAAGCAUUAUUUUAAUAACAAAUCAAUAAUAAGCUCCUACAAUUGUCGAUAAACACCAAUAUAAACAUUCGGGUUCAUUGAUCUUGAUGUGUUUAUGAUAAUAUUUACUAUCCAUCAGAAUCCUUCUAGGUAUCAAUACAUUACAACAAAAACAAAUUUAAUUCAGGGUGUUGGUCCAGGAAACGAUGAUAAAUCUUCUAUAAUUUGAAAGUUGGUGUUAUAAAAUUGAGAGGUCGAUAAAAAUUAAUAAUUCCAUGUUAAAUAUAAGCAUCAUAAUUACCUUCACUCAUUCACGUCUGAUAAAAGUAGUGAUUAAACACCUAAUUACCUUAUUUAUCAUACUGUUAUAUUCUUUAUUUCUCAUUUAGUAUUAUCUUUGACAUUAUUUUAUUCUUAACAAAAUAUUCUGGAUAAUAUCUAACCAUAAACUGAAAAGACAAAAUAUAAUUGGCGUUAGACAUUCAAGAUCGAUGAUUUGGCAACACAGUUUAGCAAUACUUCCUCCCGUGUUCUGUGUCACCCUGUUUCUGUUUCAAUGGGUAGAAUAUCUCUCAUUUUCUAUGUCUCGUUGGAUGGUACAAAUGUCAUAUGUGACUCGUGUCAGUGUGAACAAUAUUAUAAAUGAAAAGAUGAUCAGUGAGGAGGUCUGAGUAUCCUGCUGGUGGUGGUGGUGCGGUGGUGGUUUUUGUAACGAAGCUUUAAACAUUAGUAAUGGAUUAGUAAUAUUACAUUAUAUUACCAUUAUUUUGUAAUUGGCAAGUUUAACUGUAAAAUUUAAAGUCUUUUAGUUAGUUUUUACACCUACAUUUGUAUACAUAUAUGCUACGUCUCCCAGGUCAGGACGUGGGAAGCAUCCGCAGUUGCUUCCCUUGAAUAUUUUAGUGUUCUCAGUGAAGCAUAGUGAGUGAGCUGUCGCGCUGCUCUCUCUCCCAACACUCGCUCAAACUAAAGAUAUGGAAAAAGGGAUUAGUCUACCUUUUAUAAUUUCAACUUUUAAAUAAAUAUGUGAAUCUAUGCCAUGAUUUUCUGAUUUAUAUAUGUAUUCUUUAGUGGUAGUUUUAGGUUAUUUAGGUAAUAUUAUAAUCAAUUAACGUUGUGAAGUGAGAAUAUUUUUGACACUGGACUGAUGCAUUUUGUAGGCAAUAGAGGGGUAAUAUUAAGGAAGAGAGAGUGAAUAUUUUUGAAUAAAGGAACUGGACAUUGUGACUCACUUAACAUGUCUGAUUAUUUUAUUUUUUAUGCUUAAAAUAUUUAUUGAGAUGAUCGACACUUUUGUUCACAUCUUAAAAGAAGAAAAAAAUCUCUAAUGCUGGAAAUAUUUUUAUGUGUUUAAUAUUUUUCUAAGAUUCUUGGGAAUAUUACAGCGUGUUUAGUGACCCCAAAUAUUAAUACAUGUACUGUAUUUUUGUCUCUGAUCCAAAUGAUGCGUGAGUGUCAUCCCUGUAAGAAACAUUGUUGACAAGUAUCACUGAUCCAUUGUGAGUUAUAAUGUUCACAGGGUUUCAGAUUGAUCCGUUUAAGACUGUUCACUGUGUCAGAUUGAUCCAUUAGUGAGCUAUUUUGUUGACAAGUUUCAGAGAGAUUCUUUCUAUACUUUAUUUAGAUGACGAGAAGUUCACUUAUGUCUGCCCUAGAUAGAAUCAUUUGGCUUGUGAAACAUUUAUCGUGGAAUAAAUAUAUCACAGAGUUAAAUAUAGUUUGAAAAGCAUUGAAAACAAAAGCACUCCAUCAAAACUUUUUUUCGAGAGUUGAAAUUAAAAAAAAUAUUGAAAGUAUUAUUGAAUAUGAGUAAAAAAAAUCGUUCAAAUCUUGUAAAAUAUGGAGGCAAUAAUAUUCAUCACAUUGGUUUAAUCUAUUUUAAAAGUUAAUGUAAAUGGUACAUUAUUUUAGCUUCAUAAGGUUUAGUUGUUUUCAGCGUGAAGAAAAGUGAAUAGAAAUAACCUUAUAAGCGGAUACACCUAGGAUGGACGGGAUCAAUACAUAACCUACACAGACUGAUAUUAAGAGACUGAAACACACACACACACACACACACACACACACACACAUACAUAUUUAUUAUACGGACAAUUAUUUUCCCUUGAUCUGUGUAUAAAAAUAUCGCCAAAUUCACUGAGCUUCCUCGCGAUAAAUAAAUAAAUAAAUAAAUAAAUAAAUAAAUAUAUAUAUAUAUAGAAGACGUGAAUAUUUUUAUCUAAAGACACAGGUGAAAUUUUCCCCCUGAAAUGAAAAUUCUUAAGAGUGAGAAUACUAUGUGUAAACCUGUGUAUUUCAUAUAUCAAUUGUUUGAAUGUAUAUCGUGCUACUGUACGUAUAUAGUGUAUGUAUUGUAGUAUAGUUGUGUACACGGUGUUUAUGUCUUAAACACGGUGUAUAUAUCUAUGUAUAAAAUUAUGUGCCUUUGUAUUGCUGUGUUAAUUUUCGACGUAGUGUUGUGUAGUGUAUGUAUAUGUGUGUAUACUUGACCUACACUAUGUAUAUGUAGAGACCAAGAACAACAAGUAUCCUACUCAUGA
rnacentral:lncRNA from 1 species